ACGUUUAGCAGUUCACAGCGAUCGAAAAACUCGGUUCUGUGGAUUACUGUGAUCGAAAUUUUCAUUUUCAAUCGGUGGACAGACAGCAGGACAGGAAUAAGGUGUCGUUUCUUCCUUCCAAUUACCCUUAGAUUGUGUGAACUUGGGAAAAUGUGUUACUUCUGGUGUCAUCGGAGUGAAAUUUCGGAUUCGAACAGGCAUUUGGAAUCUGUUUAGACGAGCUUGAUGGUAUUUUACAAGUUUCGUAAAAUGUUCGUGACUGUUCAAAGUUUGAUGUUCUAAUCGUUUACAUGGAAUAAUCGAUCAAAUCAUGCUAAUAUGUGAUACGAAAAAAGUGUGCAUACAAGCUUUAUUUUUAGCUUGCCAGAAUUGAUAUUAGAUCAAUAAUUUGUAUCUAUUGCGACCCUACCAUGUAUGGGUAGGUGAAAGGGUGCAUUUGUCCAUUUGCAAAAGAAGAAAAGUUUUUUUUUUCAAACCAGCAAGAAGCUCAAGUGUUGAAAGGAAAAGCAAAUGUCAAAUGACAUAAUUCCAAUUUUUCUCCCUUUAUCAACUGCUGCCCAACUGUAGCCCCAAUCGGAGUUAUUUUUCUGGUGCAAGUGUAUGAGUGUGCGUUCCGAUACACCGAAUGGUGGAGCAGCCAUCGGUCCGUGAUAUCCUUUUCGGGUGACAAACUGAAAGAAAAAUUUUGUGCGACAAAAAGAACGGUGUGCGAAGUCGAGAAAUUCAAUCUGAAAUACAAAAUUGGAUUAUAUUUGGAGAAGUAUCAUACACAAGAAAAACCUGUCAUCACAUACUUUGCCAUUCACGAGCUGGACACGUUCCCCGUAUGAAUUCCAAUCCUUCGGGCAAGAAAACCAAUUACCAUAUAAUGUCCGGUUUCGAGGGUCCGGGGACAGCCAACUAGACGUGAGGUUCGAGUGUCACCACAGAGCUUAUCAAUAAUUCGCUCGCAUCACGUUCGCUAUGACGAGCUCACUCAUCGGCCGGUCUACCCACAUCCGUUAACAUCUCCGGUGGAAUUUUCUGAACAGUUGCCAAGUUUCGUUUAUCCUGGCGUCGACAGCGACAUUUUGACAUUGUACUGUAAACAUCUGAAGCUACUAAAAAAAUAGUACUGGAAUUGUGACAAAGUGCAUCGCGAUAUCGAGAUAUUCCGUUUCGAAUGAAGAUUAUAACUGACGAAGAAUGUGCACCGAAAAUUUGACCCAUUCGGGGUUGACACCACCAGUGGAAUGUGUUGAGUGUUGAGGCUGCCGGUGGCGUACAGGUGGCAGUAGUGGAUUAUUUAUAACGUUGUUUGUUUAUCGGUUGAGAGAGCGUCUGUGUGCGCGAUACUAGCGACAUCAGUCAGUCGAACAACAUGCAUCUGCACUUCGAGAAAAGCACCAACACCAAAUGCGACUGCUCGAUUCUGUCGCUCUCAUGGAUGGGCAAAGUGCCGGACGAUAUUCCAGAGGAGGAGGGCUGGAAGCUUAAUCGUACCAAUUACUACCAGGAGGGUUGGCUGGCGACGGGAAAUGUCCGAGGAAUCGUGGGUGUCACCUUCACCACAUCCCACUGCAAGAAGAACGUCGAGUAUCCGCUGAGAACGAACUACAACCUUCGGGGCCAUCGGUCCG